rnacentral:rRNA from 1 species
CAGUAGCCGCGGGAAUACAGAGGGUGCAAGCGUUAAUCGGAAUUACUGGGCGUAAAGUGCGCGUAGGUGGUUUGUUAAGUUGGAUGUGAAAUCCCCGGGCUCAACCUGGGAACUGCAUCCAAAACUGGCAAGCUAGAGUAUGGUAGAGGGUGGUGGAAUUUCCUGUGUAGCGGUGAAAUGCGUAGAUAUAGGAAGGAACACCAGUGGCGAAGGCGACCACCUGGACUGAUACUGACACUGAGGUGCGAAAGCGUGGGGAGCAAACAGGAUUAGAUACCCCUGUAGUCCCUGUCUCUUAUAC